AAAAAGGGAGAGAGAGAGAGAGAGAGAGAGAGAGAGAGAGAGAGAGAGAGAGAGAGAGAUUGAUCCAAGUGUCUUGCUGAACACAAGUCUAGCCAAAACAGUGAUAUCCAGUUUAAAUAAGAGAUACUUACUAAAAAUGAGGUGAGAUCUUGAGAGAACUUUCUUUAUUCAUGUUGUCAUAUCUAUUGGUCUAUUGGUGUAGUCUUUGUAUGUCCUAUGAUAGCUGAUGGGAGCAGCAACCUUAUUCUGUCUAGAAGACACUAACUACCACAUAGAAGGUUUCCCAGAUCUCUGGUUCUAAACAAUCUUUCUUCCUCCACUCCCUUAAUGUUCCUUGAGCCUUAGGUGAGGGUUUUGCUAUAGAUACCCCAUUUAUGGCAGGACUUCUCAUGACCACCUAUUUUCCACAUUUGAUCGAUGGUGAUUUCUCUAAUAAUUCUUUAUCUCCUGCAAAAGAAGCUUCUUUGAUGAAUGAAGAGCUGUGAGAGAACCAUUUUAUCCCUUCCUUCUUUCUUUCUCUUUCUUUCUUUCUUUCUUUCCUUCUUUCUUUCUUUCUUUCUUUCUUUCUUUCUUUCUUUCUUUCUUUCUUCAUUCUUCUCCUCCUCUUCCUCCUCCUUCUCCUCCUCCUUCUUUGUCAAAGACAGACUCCUAAGUGGUCAGCUCCAAACACAUAAAAAUAAGGACAAAACUAAUUUGACUUUCUCUCUCUCUCUCUCUCUCUCUCUCUCUCUCUCUCUCUCUCUCUCUCUCUUCAUAAAUAUAUGAAGAGAUCAUCAUGAAUUUGAGAGGGGUCAGAUUGGGGUACAUAGGAGGAGUUAGAGAAGGAAAACAGGAGUGGAGAGGGUGAAAUACAGUGCACUUACAUGUGAAAUCCUGAAGUUAAAAUAUAAGAUAAAUUAGAUAAGCAAUAAGGUGCAGAGUAAGAGUGUAAGACAUGUAAUACUGAAAUUUGGCUUCCUCAUAUGCACUCACAUAUGAGCCCAAUGCAUAUAUACACAUACAUACAAGCACACACAUACAAACUUGAUAAAAGAGUCAGGGUUAUUGAAUAUUACUCUAAGCCCAGUGGCUAACAUUCUUUAAGAUAGCCAUAUCAUUUCUUAAUGACAGGUAGUAUAGAUAUUUUAUGAAGGACUAAGAUAAUAAUGCCUUAAAACAGUUCAUAUGGAUGUUGUUUUUGUACAAUUUAUUCAGAAUGAAGUUUUAUUCACCCUGUUAAGGUCUUUUUAAAAAAAUAUAAAUCUAAUCAUUCAUUCAAAUAAAUUGUGCUCUGGUGGAAAGUUGAGAAAUUAUGUUGUUUCUACUGUUGCUAAAAGGUCCCUCAAAAUUAUUAUCUAAAUAAACCAUAUCCUACAGUGUAGGUAAUAGCCUGAUAUGGCAAUUGAGUUUUUGAAAAGUAUUCAGUGUGAUCUAGGUGUGUUACAAUAUAAAUUAAUGUGCAGCCAGAAUUUUGUGCACACUUUGCAUAGUCAUGUCUUCAAUGUUCAGCACCAAUAGUUAAAUAAAUUGAACCCUGCACUGUGUUUUGAUGUCUUAGUAUUAAAAAUAGAAAGUAUACCACUGCCAUUUACUUUAUGUUGACUAUAUUUUAAGAUGAUAAUAUUUUGGAUAUGUUGAGCCAAUUAUAGCACUAGAGUUGGUAUCUUGUCUCUUUUCCAAUUUCAACUUUCUUACCAAAAUACUAUAAAUUGAAUCCAUGGUUUAUAGUAUAUGUCUAUACUAGAACAUUGACUCAUACAAAAGUAUCAAAAAGUAGAAAUCAGUUUGCUUUAUAAAAUUGCUUAAAAUUAAAAGUAAACCAAAUGAUCUUGUGAAUAACUUUGAAAAUAUUACACCAUCAUCCACUUAAAUAAAAAUAAUGUUUUAUAUUUAUAAUGAAGGUCUAUGAUAAAGAAAACGCUGUUUCAAGAUAAUACAUAAGUAUAAAGAUACUUUUUAAAGAAAAAAAGUAUUUUGAUGAAAUAGUUCUGGCAAAUGAACACAUGAACAUAUAGUUCAGACAAGGGUACAAGGAGUUACUGAUCUAGUUAUGCCCAGGGACAUGUGAGGCAAGUAAAAUGCUCUUAAAGCAGUUACUGGCAAAGUGCCUGGAAAAUUCAGUUUCCAAGUGCUCAGAGUGAGAACUUUUCUUUGCUGCAUCAUAUAGAAUAACCAGUGGUGGAAAAAUACAUGGUCUCAAACCACUCUAAAGUCCUAAGUCACUGUACUAGAUACACAUUUAACCAGGACCUUGAUUGAGACAGAAGUAUACAGGUCUGUGCUUCUUAGUUUUGUUUUUUGACAGAAACUAGAGACACCUGGGAAGAGGAAUCUCAAUUAAGAAAAUACCUCCAUUGAACUGGUUCAUAGAUAUGUCUUUGGGGUAUUUUCUUGAUUAAUGACUGAUGUGAGAGGUUCUAGCCCACUGUGGGCCAUGCCACCCCUGUGCAGGUAUUCCUGAAUCAUGUAAGAAAGCAGUGUGAAUAAUCCACAGGGAGCAAGUCAGUAAGCAGUAUUCCUACACAGCCUCUGCUUCAAUUCCUGCCUCCAGGUUCCUGCCUUAAAUACCUGCCCUGACUUCCCUUCAUGACUGAUCACGAUCAGGACAUGUAUGUUGAAAAUAACCCCACGUUUCUUUUGUUCAUGUUCUUUUUCACAGCAAUAGAAAGGACACUGCUAUUGUCUAAAAUCGUUUUAUAAUUGGAGCACCAGUCAUUAGAAUCUGUUAGAUAAGAUAAUCUUGUUGUGUUGUAGAAAGUUCAGCAUAUCAGGCUGUGGACACAGAUUCAUGGUAGAGUGAUUCCCUGCUACCUGCUCUGCCUGGGUCAUGUCCCCAGUACCACACAGACACAAAAAAAGAUGCAACACAUAUCUAUAAAAUCAACCAAUUUGAAUCCCUAUGCAGAAGAAAAAAAUGGAUCAGUAACCUCAUUUGUAACUUUUACCCAGUAUGGUAUAACAUGAACCAAAUAAACCUUGUGAGUCAAAGCAAAAAUAAUAGACAAAUAUAAAAUAAUGAUUUUACAGUAAGGGGGCAGGGCAGUGAAAGACACUGGUUCCUGUGGGACUGAAGGAUUAAUAGAUACAUCUUUGGUUAAUGUUCUUUGGUUCCCUGAGGAAGCUCCAGAGCUGUGGAGUAGUACAGAGAGUAGAGAGACCAGGCAGGUUCCUGGGGUUGAGGAGCUGCAAUCUAAGGGAAGAAAAACUAUUUUGAAUUUAUAUGAUAUAGUCUUAGAGAGAAGCCUACCCACAGAGAAACCUAGGGAUACCCCUCCAUGUGCAGUUUAAUUGAUGGAUAUUUGUAAAUAAAUUAAAAAAGAGGAAGUCCCAGAACAAUGACAGGUAAUAACAUCUAAUAUUUGUACAGGGCUAAGAGUUGUUGCUACUUCUUUCCAUCUGCCAAAUGGAUAAAAUCAUGAUUUUCCCCCCUUUGGGUAGAGUACACAGAAAGUUCUUGUUUGAAUGAUAAGGAAUAAUUAUCUCUUUGGGCCUUCCUUCACUUUCAUCAAACAAAGCAUGGCUCAAACGGAUCAACACUUUCUUUUAGGUUCGUUAUUUGUUAGGUAAAACAAUUAGCAUUCAUAUUUGAAAGCUGGAACGAAUUAGCAUGUGUGUAAACAUAAUAAGGACAUUGGGUGUAGAAGGGAAUACAUAUCUAUAGUAAUGAAUGAGAGUGGAAAUAAUGACCAAAUGAGUGCAUAUGCAAAAUACUUCGUUAUUUUGUAAAUUUCCCUAAAACAGUAUUGGCUGUUCAAAGGCCAUUAUUAGCAAUGGUCUGUGGAGAGUAUGGUAUAUAUAAAAGAAAAUGUAUGACAAUAGUACAAAGAUUAGUGGUGGAUAUGUAGACACAUACUGUUUUUAGCCUCUUAAACUACAUGAAAAGUGAAAUUAUAUUCCUUUAAUCUAGAAUGUGAUAAUUUAAUGAUGAUUACUAUGAAUCCUACUGCUGCUGUGAAGACAAUAUAGAGAUUUGCAGCAAGCAAGAUGAUGAAGAGGAUGAGCCAGAAUGAUAAAUAAUUGAUCAAGAUGAAAUACUACAAAUCACUGGAAUAUAUUGAAAGCAAGAGACAUAUGGAGCACAAAUUCUGAGAAUAAUUCAUCCUUUGGAGGAAAAAAAUACAACAUGGCAGGGAAAUUAGGGAAGAACACAGUAUCCAGAGGCAACAGAAGGUGUGCUGGAGAGAGCAGUGAGAGGAAGGGGAUUAAAAACAUGUCCUGGUGUCCGAGAUGGAGGAAAAGAACGUUCUGCGUGGGAAAGUCCUCCACAAGUAAGACCACAAGUAAGGCUCAUUUCUUGUCUUGGGAGGAAGGCAGAGUACUGUGGCCCUGAAGCCUGGAAAAUAACUGGGGGGAGUUGAACAGAAGCAAAUGAUAAGUGGUGAAACCACUGAUAACAUGUUAAAUCAGGCUAGUGGGAGAGAUGGACAACAGGAGUAGGGGUUGGAUUAGAAAUAAACCUGAUACCAUACUGUAUGAGAGCAGAUUGGAGAAAGUGAGACUUUUUGUUCACAGAGAAGAUUUUUCCAAGUGUUUGAUAUUUUUAAGGAGCUUUUGGGUAGGAAAAUGAAAUGACUUACAUAUGUUAAACUUUGAGAAUUAUAAAAUGUGAUGUCAACUAGGUCUCUGGAUAGUACAGAUAGAGACAGAAUUCCUGUACCUUGUAGCUGGAGUUUUCUUGCUCCUGCCUGGCACAGGUCAGGAAAAAUGUCUCUCACCUGCCAGUCCCGCAGCCACUCAGACCCAACCAAGUAAACACACAGAGACUUAUAUUGCUUA